UCUCCCGUGAGGGAGCAGUCUCGCCUGACUUGUAAAACAGGCAACGCGGGUUGCGUUCGUUACCCCACUGAAGGGAACAACUCAAGCCACGAACUGACGACGACCAUGCAUCACCUGCACUACCGCCUUGCGGGGGCCAAAGUUUCCUAAGGCUUACGUUAGUGUUUCAAACCCUGGUGAGGUUCUUCGUUUGUCAUCGAAUUGAGCCGCAUGAUCCACCGCUUGUGCAAGUCCCCGUCUAUUCCUUUGAGUUUUAAUCUUGCGAUCGUACUACCCAGGCGCAUCACUUAACGCGUUAGCUUCGCCUCGCAGAGGGUCGAUACUCCGCAAAGCCAGUGAUGAUCGUUUAGGGCGUGGACUAC
rnacentral:misc_RNA from 1 species